GAUGAACGCUGGCGGCGUGCCUAACACAUGCAAGUCGAACGAAGCGGCCCAAAGUUUUCGGACGGAGAGUUGACUGAGCGGCGGACGGGUGAGUAACGCGUGGGUAACCUGCCUCAUACAGGGGGAUAACAGUUAGAAAUGACUGCUAAUACCGCAUAAGCGCACAGUACCGCAUGGUACAGUGUGAAAAGCCGAGACGGUAUGAGAUGGACCCGCGUCUGAUUAGCUAGUUGGUGGGGUAAUGGCCACCAAGGCGACGAUCAGUAGCCGACCUGAGAGGGUGACCGGCCACAUUGGGACUGAGACACGGCCCAAACUCCUACGGGAGGCAGCAGUGGGGAAUAUUGCACAAUGGGGGAAACCCUGAUGCAGCGACGCCGCGUGAGUGAAGAAGUAUUUCGGUAUGUAAAGCUCUAUCAGCAGGGAAGAAAAUGACGGUACCUGACUAAGAAGCCCCGGCUAACUACGUGCCAGCCGCCGCGGUAAAAC
rnacentral:rRNA from 1 species